rnacentral:rRNA from 1 species
ACACGUAGGGGGCGAGCGUUGUCCGGAAUUACUGGGCGUAAAGGGCGCGUAGGCGGCCGUUUAAGUCAGCUGUGAAAACCCUGGGCUUAACCUUGGGAUUGCAAUUGAAACUGAAUGGCUUGAGGGCAGGAGAGGAAAGCGGAAUUCCCAGUGUAGCGGUGAUAUGCGUAGAUAUUGGGAGGAACACCAGUGGCGAAGGCGGCUUUCUGGACUGAACCUGACGCUGAGGCGCGAAAGCCAGGGUAGCAAACGGGAUUAGAUACCCCGGUAGUCCUGGCCGUAAACGAUGGAUACUAGGUGUGGGAGGUAUCGACCCCUUCCGUGCCGCAGUUAACACAAUAAGUAUCCCGCCUGGGGAGUACGGUCGCAAGGCUGAA